rnacentral:lncRNA from 1 species
UUCACAAAAGGUUCUAAAAUAAGACUUAGUUGUACAAAAUGAAAGCUAAAAUAUCCAGUUGACGUGGAUCACUAGCUUCAUGGUCCAUUGUGAGUGCAGUCCUUCUGUUUGCUUCCUACAAAAGUUAAACAAGUCCCAAUUAUAAUACACUAUCAAAAACUGAAUUUCCUUUGAUUUUUUUAAUUUGCAAACAUUCCAUAUGUAAAGCAGUCCCUUUUUUUGUUCAGUGAACCACAUGCUGCUAGAAAUGUUAUUAUAUCUUAAAACAUUUACAUGUAAAUAGUGUUGACUGCUUACACACUAGUUUCUAGAAAUAAUAGAAGGGCUUAGCUAUCCAUACCAAAACUGGAAAAAAGAUCGCCUAAGUCAUGCAAUUAGAACAUGUAACAAUUCAAAUAACAAUGCGAACUACAGAAAGUGUCAUAUGGGGAACUAGGUAAGAGGAGCAGCUACAACAGGAACUAGGCAUACGUAUGCAGUAGCACUUGCCAUAAUUGAAAGGAAGGGGCAGAAAGAAAAUGAGGAAGAUGUCUACAAAACCAUGUCAUGUGUCCAUGGCUUAACUAAUUCCUGAUGCUAUAAACCAAGGUACUACAGAGAUUUAACUCGAGAUUUCACCAAACAUGAAUAAGAAAAUGAUGGUAUUAGUGGCAGAACUAAAAUCUCUAGCAAAUAAUGUAGGCGGACAAUUUCCGAUGCUAACCACGACUUGACAAUCUACGUCUCUUGAAGUGGCAUAUAUUUAAUUGUCUAAAAAGGCUAUAUUAAAAAUAGGGAUUCUAAUACUAAUUAGCUAGCUCGACAUCAAAUCUGAAUCUGAAAAUAUUUAAGAGGGCAUUUCCAACACAAAUAUAUGCUCACCUCCAAUAACAAAAGUCCGGUCCAUAUACAUAUUCUAGUUGUAGUUACAACAAAUUAACUUGGUCAUACCUUUUAGAACAGAGUAAAGAAAGUGCCUCAAUUGUCAUCUAAAUAGAAAAAUUGGGAUGGAUAUUUAUAUCUAGUAUAUAAAGAACAGAACAUGGCAACAUUCCUAGAUAUCUAACAUUUAUAGAGUAACAUGAAUAAGAAUAGAAAAAAUGAAUGUAUGUGUGAAUUUACAUCACGAGACCAAAAACGUCUGCAAACCAAAAUAGAUUCAACAAAAAAAGUGACUGCGUAAUAAGUGCACUGAACCUGAACGUUGCACUUGAGGCCCCUUUGCACCUGAACAUGGAGAAAACCUGGUAAGUUCCUCACAGAAUCACUUCAUCAUUUUCACAUAUGUUCGAUCCCUUGUUCUUCUCUUCACAUCUGGAACCAGAACUCAUUUCAGUAGUAUAUGAAAGCAAAUAAUGCAUAAUUCAGAAGACCACUUAAGUAUUAUAUAGAAAACAUUCAUAUAUACAAAAAGCUAAAAAUUAGAUUAAAAAGUAAUCUAUACCCAACGGAACAGUAUAUAUAUGCAAACCGAUACAACUUAAUUCAGUCUAAAUGUAAAUUACAGAAAAAUGCAACUGUAAUAUCUAUAGAAAAAGACUGAGAAUAAAUUAGAACAGCAGCUUAAUUACUUCAUUCCAGAACUACUGAAGAAAAAUUACAAACAAAAUACAGCUGGAAAUCUAUAAAAGCGAAAAGGAUAAAUUACAAAACCACUUAAUACAUAUUAACUCUUCAUUCCAAAAGUGAACUAUUCUGAAUGUUUUACAGAACUACUGAAGCAAAUUCAAAGUACAACUGUAAAAUGUGUAGAACAUGCCUGCAACUUAGAAACUGAUAAGAUACAUAUUUAAUCUUGUUUCCAGAAACUGAACUGAAGUUUUACAGAUACGUAUUUAAUCUUGUUUUCCAGAAACUGAACUGAAGUUUUACAGAACAAAUGUUCCAAAAUUACAGAUAAAAAAAGGUUGCAGACGUAUACAAGCCUAGGAGUAAAACCACUUAACAUCUCAACUACUCUGGAAGCUACAGAACUAUCGAAGCAAAUUUAUGGAGAAAAUACAACUAUAAAAUUUAUAGAAGCAUGACUGUACAAAUACAAACUGCUAGAUAUGUAUUUUAUCUUGAUUCCACAAAAAUUGUACUAAGUUCUACAGAACACGAAAUUACAGAGGAAAGACUUGUAAGUUAAUAAAAGCCCAGCUGUAAAACCACUUAAGAACUGAACUAAUCUGCAAGUUUUACAGAACUAAUUUUGCAAAAAUAUAGAAAUACAACAGUAAAUCUAUACAACCGUGAGUGAUGCUAUGUCUUCCUACCAAAAAUCCUUCUGCUAGAAUUGGAGCACUGAGACUAACAAUUUAACAAACACUUGCAGUGUGUUGCC